UACGGAGGGGGCGAGCGUUGUUCGGAAUCAUUGGGCGUAAAGGGCGCGUAGGCGGCCUGAUCAAGUCGGAUGUGAAAUCCCUCGGCUCAACCGAGGAACUGCACCCGAUACUGGUUGGCUAGAGUCCGGGAGGGGGUAGCGGAAUUCCCAGUGUAGCGGUGAAAUGCGUAGAUAUUGGGAAGAACACCGGUGGCGAAGGCGGCUACCUGGACCGGUGACUGACGCUGAGGCGCGAAAGCCAGGGGAGCGAAUGGG
rnacentral:rRNA from 1 species